rnacentral:lncRNA from 1 species
CAUGGGAGGAUGGCUUUGAGUGCAAGUGGGAGAUUGUUGGAAGUAUGCCCACAAAGCCAUUCAUUUGAUGUAAUAGCUUUUUGGAAUACUUAAUGUAUUAAACUUUUAUAUGUUUAAUGAAGGGCAAAGCUUAUUGUUGAUCACUAUUUAUUGUAUCAUGUGUUUAAGCCAUAACGGAAUCCUAGGGAUGUAUUUGAUCUAAGAGACAAGUGAUCUAAGUGAGUUAGAUUAUCGAGACCAUUCUCUUAUGUUCAUUCUUAAAACGUUCCUAGCCAUAGGAUUGCCAAUUGGGCAUUGACAAUCCGCUAAGGUUAGUAUGUGUUAUGUUGACUCAAGCGUGAGUAUGACUAGUCUCAAGUCAUUUGGUGUUGGACACUAAGACAAACACAUAGGUGCUCGAAAGAGUAAUCGAGUACACUGAACAACGAUCAUCAGAGAGUUUGAACAUACAUGUCAUGUAAGAACUCGAAAGUUGCAAUAUGCAAAGUAGUCUUUUGACCUGUGACAUCAUAGAUGUCUAAUGGUUAGG